AAAAUCCGUCGACUUUAGAAAUCGUGAGGGUUCAAGUCCCUCUAUCCCCCCAAAAAGACCGAUUUGACUAUUUCUCCUACCCUCUCUUUUUUUUAGUGGUUCCAAAUUUGUUCUCUUUCUCAUUCAUUCUACCUUUUUACAAACGUAUCAGAGCAGAAUUUUUUUCUUUUAUCACAAUCACAAGUGGUGUGGUAUAUAUGAUAUACGUACAAAUGAACAUCUUUGAACAAAGAAUCCCGAUUCACAAUUCAUAUCAUUGCUCAUACUGAAACUUAUAAAUUAUUCUAUUCAAGAAAUCUAAUUCCACGCUCAAGACUUUUAAUACUUUUUUUAUCUUUUUUAAUUGACAUAGACCCCAGUCAUCUAGUAAAAUAAGGAUGAUGCGCCGGUAAUGGUCGGGAUAGCUCAGCUGGUAGAGCAGAGGACUGAAAAU
rnacentral:tRNA from 3 species